rnacentral:rRNA from 1 species
AUUGAACGCUGGCGGCAGGCCUAACACAUGCAAGUCGGACGAGUGGCGGACGGGUGAGUAAUGUCUGGGAAACUGCCUGAUGGAGGGGGAUAACUACUGGAAACUGUAGCUAAUACCGCAUACCAUCGGAUGUGCCCAGAUGGGAUUUGCUAGUAGGUGGGGUAAAGGCUCACCUAGGCGACGAUCCCUAGCUGGUCUGAGAGGAUGACCAGCCACACUUGAAGUGAGACGCGGACCGGAAUCCGAGGGGAGGCAGCGGUGGGGAAAAUUGCACAAUGGGCGCAAGCCAGAUGCAGCCAUGCCGCGUGGAUGAGUAAGGUCUUCGGAUGGUAAAGAACUUUCGGCAGGGAGGCGGUACCGGAAAAAGAGGCACCGGCUUACUCCGUGCAAGCAGCCGCGGUAAUAC